rnacentral:piRNA from 1 species
UAAAUUGGAUGGGCUGAGAGCUUUGGAGUC